ACGAGAAGGCAGCUACACGGCGACGUGAUGCUAAUCCCCAAAACCUCUCUCAGUUCGGAUUGGAGUCUGCAACCCGACUCCAUGAAGCUGGAUUCGCUAGUAAUCGCGCAUCAGCCACGGCGCGGUGAAUACGUUCCCGGGCCUUGUACACACCGCCCGUCAAGCCAUGAAAGCCGGGGGUACCUGAAGUCCGUAACCGUAAGGAGCGGCCUAGGGUAAAACUGGUAAUUGGGGCUAAGUCGUAACAAGGUACC
rnacentral:rRNA from 1 species